AGAGUUUGAUCCUGGCUCAGGACGAACGCUGGCGGCACGCUUAACACAUGCAAGUCGAACGAGAGAAGAGGAGCUUGCUUUUCUGAUCUAGUGGCGGACGGGUGAGUAACACGUGAGCAAUCUGCCCUUCAGAGGGGGAUACCGAUUGGAAACGAUCGUUAAUACCGCAUAACAUAAUUGAACCGCAUGAUUUGAUUAUCAAAGAUUUAUCGCUGAAAGAUGAGCUCGCGUCUGAUUAGCUAGUUGGUAAGGUAACGGCUUACCAAGGCGACGAUCAGUAGCCGGACUGAGAGGUUGAUCGGCCACAUUGGGACUGAGACACGGCCCAGACUCCUACGGGAGGCAGCAGUGGGGAAUAUUGCACAAUGGAGGAAACUCUGAUGCAGCGAUGCCGCGUGAGGGAAGAAGGUUUUAGGAUUGUAAACCUCUGUCUUCAGGGACGAAAAAAGACGGUACCUGAGGAGGAAGCUCCGGCUAACUACGUGCCAGCAGCCGCGGUAAUACGUAGGGAGCGAGCGUUGUCCGGAAUUACUGGGUGUAAAGGGAGCGUAGGCGGGAUCGCAAGUCAGAUGUGAAAACUAUGGGCUUAACCCAUAAACUGCAUUUGAAACUGUGGUUCUUGAGUGAAGUAGAGGUAAGCGGAAUUCCUAGUGUAGCGGUGAAGUGCGUAGAUAUUAGGAGGAACAUCAGUGGCGAAGGCGGCUUACUGGGCUUUAACUGACGCUGAGGCUCGAAAGCGUGGGGAGCAAACAGGAUUAGAUACCCUGGUAGUCCACGCCGUAAACGAUGAUUACUAGGUGUGGGGGGACUGACCCCUUCCGUGCCGCAGCAAACGCAAUAAGUAAUCCACCUGGGGAGUACGACCGCAAGGUUGAAACUCAAAGGAAUUGACGGGGGCCCGCACAAGCAGUGGAGUAUGUGGAUUAAUUCGAAGCAACGCGAAGAACCUUACCAGGUCUUGACAUCGUAUGCAUAGCUCAGAGAUGAGUGAAAUCUCUUCGGAGACAUAUAGACAGGUGGUGCAUGGUUGUCGUCAGCUCGUGUCGUGAGAUGUUGGGUUAAGUCCCGCAACGAGCGCAACCCUUACUGUUAGUUGCUACGCAAGAGCACUCUAGCAGGACUGCCGUUGACAAAACGAGGAAGGUGGGGAUGACGUCAAAUCAUCAUGCCCCUUAUGACCUGGGCCUCACACGUACUACAAUGGCUGUCAACAGAGGGAAGCAAAGCCGCGAGGUGGAGCGAACCCCUAAAAGCAGUCUUAGUUCGGAUUGUAGGCUGCAACCCGCCUACAUGAAGUCGGAAUUGCUAGUAAUCGCAGAUCAGCAUGCUGCGGUGAAUACGUUCCCGGGCCUUGUACACACCGCCCGUCACGCCAUGGGAGUCGGUAACACCCGAAGCCUGUAGUCUAACCGCAAGGAGGACGCAGUCGAAGGUGGGAUUGAUGACUGGGGUGAAGUCGUAACAAGGUA
rnacentral:rRNA from 1 species